AACGAACGCUGGCGGCAGGCCUAACACAUGCAAGUCGAACGCCGUAGCAAUACGGAGUGGCAGACGGGUGAGUAACACGUGGGAACGUACCCUUCGGUUCGGAAUAACUCAGGGAAACUUGAGCUAAAACCGGAUACGUCCGAGAGGAGAAAGAUUUAUCGCCGAGGGAUCGGCCCGCGUCUGAUUAGCUUGUUGGUGAGGUAACGGCUCACCAAGGCGACGAUCAGUAGCUGGUCUGAGAGGAUGAUCAGCCACAUUGGGACUGAGACACGGCCCAAACUCCUACGGGAGGCAGCAGUGGGGAAUAUUGGACAAUGGGCGCAAGCCUGAUCCAGCCAUGCCGCGUGAGUGAUGAAGGCCCUAGGGUUGUAAAGCUCUUUUACCCGGGAAGAUAAUGACUGUACCGGGAGAAUAA
rnacentral:rRNA from 1 species